CCCUGAUCCAGCGACGCCGCGUGAGUGAAGAAGUAUUUCGGUAUGUAAAGCUCUGUCAGCAGGGAAGAAAGAAAUGACGGUACCUGACCAAGAAGCCCCGGCUAACUACGUGCCAGCAGCCGCGGUAAUACGUAGGGGGCAAGCGUUAUCCGGAAUUACUGGGUGUAAAGGGAGCGUAGACGGUGAUGCAAGUCUGGAGUGAAAGGCGGGGGCCCAACCCCCGGACUGCUCUGGAAACUGUGUAACUUGAGUGCAGGAGAGGUAAGCGGAAUUCCUAGUGUAGCGGUGAAAUGCGUAGAUAUUAGGAGGAACACCAGUGGCGAAGGCGGCUUACUGGACUGUAACUGACGUUGAGGCUCGAAAGCGUGGGGAGCAAACAGGAUUAGAUACCCUGGUAGUCCACGCCGUAAACGAUGAUUACUAGGUGUCGGUGGGUAUGGACCC
rnacentral:rRNA from 1 species